AGACUCCUACGGGAGGCAGCAGUGGGGAAUAUUGCACAAUGGGCGCAAGCCUGAUGCAGCGACGCCGCGUGGGGGAUGAAGGCCUUCGGGUUGUAAACUCCUUUCGCUAGGGACGAAGCUUUUGUGACGGUACCUAGAUAAGAAGCACCGGCUAACUACGUGCCAGCAGCCGCGGUAAUACGUAGGGUGCGAGCGUUGUCCGGAAUUACUGGGCGUAAAGGGCUCGUAGGUGGUUUGUCGCGUCGUCUGUGAAAUUCUGGGGCUUAACUCCGGGCGUGCAGGCGAUACGGGCAUAACUUGAGUGCUGUAGGGGUAACUGGAAUUCCUGGUGUAGCGGUGAAAUGCGCAGAUAUCAGGAGGAACACCGAUGGCGAAGGCAGGUUACUGGGCAGUUACUGACGCUGAGGAGCGAAAGCAUGGGUAGCGAACAGGAUUAGAUACCCUGGUAGUCCAUGCUGUAAACGGUGGGCGCUAGGUGUGAGGGUUUUUCUACGAUUCUCGUGCCGUAGCUAACGCAUUAAGCGCCCCGCCUGGGGAGUACGGCCGCAAGGCUAAAACUCAAAGGAAUUGACGGGGGCCCGCACAAGCGGCGGAGCAUGUGGAUUAAUUCGAUGCAACGCGAAGAACCUUACCUGGGCUUGACAUACACGAGAUCGCUGCAGAGAUGUAGUUUCCCUUUUGUGGUUGGUGUACAGGUGGUGCAUGGUUGUCGUCAGCUCGUGUCGUGAGAUGUUGGGUUAAGUCCCGCAACGAGCGCAACCCUUGUCUUAUGUUGCCAGCAUUUGGUUGGGGACUCAUGAGAGACUGCCGGGGUUAACUCGGAGGAAGGUGGGGAUGACGUCAAAUCAUCAUGCCCCUUAUGUCCAGGGCUUCACACAUGCUACAAUGGUCGGUACAACGCGUUGCGACACUGUGAGGUGGAGCGAAUCGCUGAAAGCCGGUCUUAGUUCGGAUUGGGGUCUGCAACUCGACCCCAUGAAGUCGGAGUCGCUAGUAAU
rnacentral:rRNA from 1 species